rnacentral:rRNA from 1 species
GACAGUGUCCGGAAUCCCGAAGAGAUUUGGGAGUGCUCGCAAGAGAACCGGAACACAGGUGCUGCAUGGCUGUCGUCAGCUCGUGUCGUGAGAUGUUGGGUUAAGUCCCGCAACGAGCGCAACCCUUGUCAUUAGUUGCCAUCAUUGGUUGGGCACUCUAAUGAGACUGCCGGUGACAAACCGGAGGAAGGUGGGGAUGACGUCAAGUCCUCAUGGCCCUUAUGGGUAGGGCUUCACACGUCAUACAAUGGUCGGUACAGAGGGUUGCCAACCCGCGAGGGGGAGCUAAUCCCACAAAGCCGAUCGUAGUCCGGAUCGCAGUCUGCAACUCGACUGCGUGAAGUCGGAAUCGCUAGUAAUCGUGGAUCAGCAUGUCACGGUGAAUACGUUCCCGGGUCCUU